rnacentral:rRNA from 1 species
UACGUAGGGUGCGAGCGUUAAUCGGAAUUACUGGGCGUAAAGCGUGCGCAGGCUGUUCUGUAAGUCAGAUGUGAAAUCCCUGGGCUCAACCUAGGAACUGCGUUUGAAACUACAGGACUAGAAUAUGUCAGAGGGGGGUAGAAUUCCACGUGUAGCAGUGAAAUGCGUAGAGAUGUGGAGGAAUACCAAUGGCGAAGGCAGCCCCCUGGGAAGUACCUGACGCUCGGGUGCGAAAGCUAGGGGAGCGAACGGG